rnacentral:rRNA from 1 species
CGAGCACGCGCGUGUGGCAUAUCAAUAAGCGGAGGAAAAGAAACUAACAAGGAUUCCCCUAGUAACGGCGAGUGAAGCGGGAAGAGCUCAAAUUUGAAAUCUUCAAGGUUUUACCUUGACGAAUUGUAGUUUAAAGAAGUGUUUUCGGUUAGAGGAGUGGUAAAAGUUCUUUGGAAUAGGACAUCAUAGAGGAGUGAGAAUCCCGUAUUUGACAUAUUCUUUCUAGCUGUGUGAUACACUUUCAAAGAGUCGGAUUGUUUGGGAAUGCAGUCCAAAAUGGGUGGUAAAUUUCAUCUAAAGCUAAAUAUUGGCGAGAGACCGAUAGCGAACAAGUACCGUGAGGGAAGGAUGAAAAGAACUUUGAAAAGAGAGUUAAACAGUACGUGAAAUUGUCAAAAGGGAAGCGUUUGACACCAGUGUUGUUUUCUCGAAAAUCAAUUAUAAAAUGGCGUGAUUUGUAGUUGUCAUGACCUUAAAAGCUUGUUUCUUAUUUUUCAUGUCUUUCGUAAUGCACUUUUCGGUUAACAAGUCAACAUCAAUUUCUUUUGUUGUAAAAGGUUAAGAGGAAGGUGGCUUUACUUUCGGGUAAAGUGUUUAUAGCCUUUUAACUCUGCAAUCGGAGAGAUUGAGGUCUGCAGCGUAGAUCCUUCGGGGUUAGAUACAUUUGUGCUAAGUUAUAGCUUUUCAUAGACGACUUGUUGACUAUGUUGAGUCUUGUAAUUUACUCGCAGAUGCUAUUUUACCUACGCUUAGGAUGUUGAGCGCAUGUCUCUCUCU